rnacentral:misc_RNA from 1 species
UCCGGCUUAGCACCGGCAGUCCCAUUAGAGUUCCCAACUAAAUGAUGGCAACUAAUGGCGAGGGUUGCGCUCGUUGCGGGACUUAACCCAACAUCUCACGACACGAGCUGACGACAGCCAUGCAGCACCUGUCUCACGGUUCCCGAAGGCACUCCUCUAUCUCUAAAGGAUUCCGUGGAUGUCAAGGCCAGGUAAGGUUCUGCGCGUUGCAUCGAAUUAAACCACAUACUCCACCGCUUGUGCGGGCCCCCGUCAAUUCCUUUGAGUUUCAGCCUUGCGGCCGUACUCCCCAGGCGGGGUGCUUAAUGCAUUAGCUGCGGCACCGAGGGGGUCGCUCCCCCCGACACCUAGCACCCAUCGCUUACGGCGUGGACUAC